UGGGGAAUAUUGCGCAAUGGGCGAAAGCCUGACGCAGCGACGCCGCGUGGGGGAUGAAGGCCUUCGGGUUGUAAACCCCUUUCAGCAGGGACGAAGCGAAAGUGACGGUACCUGCAGAAGAAGCGCCGGCUAACUACGUGCCAGCAGCCGCGGUAACACGUAGGGCGCAAGCGUUGUCCGGAAUUAUUGGGCGUAAAGAGCUCGUAGGCGGUCUGUUGCGUCCGCUGUGAAAUCCCAGGGCUUAACCCUGGGCCUGCAGUGGAUACGGGCAGGCUAGAGGCAGGCAGGGGAGAACGGAAUUCCCGGUGUAGCGGUGAAAUGCGCAGAUAUCGGGAGGAACACCGGUGGCGAAGGCGGUUCUCUGGGCCUGUUCUGACGCUGAGGAGCGAAAGCGUGGGUAGCAAACAGGAUUAGAUACCCGCGUAGUCC
rnacentral:rRNA from 1 species